GAUGAACGCUAGCGGCAGGCCUAAUACAUGCAAGUCGAACGGUGUCUUCGGACAUAGUGGCGCACGGGUGCGUAACACGUAUGCAACCUACCUUACAUUGGGGGAUAGCCUUUCGAAAGGGAGAUUAAUACCGCAUAAGACAGUAGCUGGGCAUCCAGCAGCUGUUAAAGAUUUAGCGAUGUAAGCUGGGCAUGCGUCCAAUUAGCUAGUUGGCGAGGGAGCGGCUCACCAAGGCAAUGAUUGGUAGGGGAACUGAGAGGUCAAUCCGCCCACACUGGCACUGAGAUACGGGCCAGACUCCUACGGGAGGCAGCAGUAGGGAAUAUUGGGCAAUGGACGCAAGUCUGACCCAGCCAUGCCGCGUGCAGGAUGAAGGCGUUAUGCGUUGUAAACUGCUUUUAUACAGGAAGAAACGACUCUUGCGAGAGGCAUUGACGGUACUGUAUGAAUAAGCACCGGCUAACUCCGUGCCAGCCGCCGCCGUAAUAC
rnacentral:rRNA from 1 species